rnacentral:lncRNA from 1 species
GGGGGACGCGCAGGGCCGAGUGUGCCCGAGCCCGGGCGCGUACACGUGUCCGUGUGUGUGUGCGGGAGUGUGCGAGGGAGAGAGGCGAGGCGAGGAGAGGAGCCUACCAUGCGCUUCCCCCGGUGCGGAUCGCGGGAGAGCCCAAUCGCGGGGCGAGCUGGACCUGGCUGUGAUCAUUUAUAAUCCUUGACUCCUCCGCUCCGCCACUUGUCAAGAUGACAGGUACUUUAUUUCUUCUUUUUUGUUCAAAAAAAGAGAUUCCCCGUUUACUGCCUAUUUCUGUCAAAUGGGAUUUGCCGGACUGAACCACGUUCGCCGCCCCUCCCUCCUUCCCUCCUCCCGGCCGCGUCGGGUUCGGGAAAGCACCGAGGCUCCCAUGCUGUGACCAAUCAGUGCCUCUACUACUCUCGCCGCGAUUUAGGGGUCAUCCGUGAAUAACACUUCACGCUGAUGAAUGGCUCUUGCCGGCUUUCGGCUCUGAUGAGGGGUCUGCCCGCCGCUGAUUGCAAACACUAAUGAACUUACUGCGCCAGUUGAAAUUCACACGCACCAACAAAGUGCGGGGGGGUGGGCAUCAGGUCAGCUGAGUCACCCGAGGAGGUGGGAGUGCAAGACACUGCCGGGAAGACGGAUUCCGCGGCAGAAGGGUGUAAUUAAGGAUUUCCACCCCCGCCCCAGCUCGGCACUGUCGCGGAACAACUGUCUGCCCCCGGGUUCAAGCACCUAGCCCUCCCCCCAGCAGCACCUGGCCAAGGGCGGACGCUGGAUCCCCCCCGAAGGCUCCACUCCCCACAUUUACUACUCUCCCUUCCUCUCCAUUCUCCCCUCCGAAUAGCAGCCAAACACUUGUCCCUGCCUCGAUUUUGUUGGCUAUGGGAGGAAUAAAAGUUUGCUGCUCUUCCCACGACACUGCCACUUUCUACUCACUGAAGUUCCCACCGCAGCGCGGACUCCCGGCUCCCCAGCCCCCGCCCCUUGGCUGCAAGAAAGCCCUCCCCCGGAGCUUCCGAAACUGCUGGAAGUUCCGGAGUUUUGUAGCUCCGAAUGGGCGACCUGAGCCCUGAGCCGAACCGCUCUCUGGCUCGGCGGUCCGCGG